rnacentral:rRNA from 1 species
UACGGGGGGGGCAAGCGUUGUUCGGAAUUACUGGGCGUAAAGGGCUCGUAGGCGGCCAACUAAGUCAGACGUGAAAUCCCUCGGCUUAACCGGGGAACUGCGUCUGAUACUGGAUGGCUUGAGAUUGGGAGAGGGAUGCGGAAUUCCAGGUGUAGCGGUGAAAUGCGUAGAUAUCUGGAGGAACACCGGUGGCGAAGGCGGCCUGCUGGGCAGUUGCUGACACUGAGGCGCGACAGCGUGGGGAGCAAACAGG